rnacentral:rRNA from 1 species
AGUGAACGCUGGCGGCAGGCCUAACACAUGCAAGUCGAGCGGCAGCGCGGGGGCAACCCUGGCGGCGAGCGGCGGACGGGUGAGGAAUUCGUCGGAAUCUGCCUUUUUGUGGGGGAUAACGUAGGGAAACUUACGCUAAUACCGCAUACGUCCUACGGGAGAAAGUGGGGGACCGCAAGGCCUCACGCAGAAAGAUGAGCCGACGACCGAUUAGCUAGUUGGUGGGGUAAAGGCCCACCAAAGCGACGAUCGGUAGCUGGUCUGAGAGGAUGAUCAGCCACACUGGGACUGAGACACGGCCCAGACUCCUACGGGAGGCAGCAGUGGGGAAUAUUGGACAAUGGGCGCAAGCCUGAUCCAGCCAUGCCGCGUGUGUGAAGAAGGCCUUCGGGUUGUAAAGCACUUUUGUCCGGAAAGAAAUCCCUGGAGCUAAUACCUUCGGGGGAUGACGGUACCGGAAGAAUAAGCACCGGCUAACUUCGUG